rnacentral:lncRNA from 1 species
GCUGCGCCCAAAGGGGCUGCAAACAGCAGCACCCGCAGCGCUCCCCGUCCCCGGGUGCUGGUCCCCCGAUGUCACCUGGGGCGGGUGACACGUCCUGGGUCCCCGGCCGCUGUCCCCACGCAGGUUCCCCUGGCACCGCUCUCCGGCACCGCUCCCCGUACCUGACCUGGAAGCGGCCCGCAGCUGUAAAUGGGGACAGCCGCGGGGAGCCGAGGUGCAGCUCCGGCCCCGGGGAGCUGCCGCAGCCGGGGUGGCAGCGGGAGGGGACGCGGGGGGCAGCCGGGCGCGGAGGGCGGCAGGUCACGGCGCUUCGGGCCAGCGCGGCUCCCGUUCGCGCAGUGGCACCGGCGAGGCCCCUUCCACCCAGCGCGGGGUCCCCGGCCCGCCACCCGUCCCCGGGGUCCCCGAGGUCCCCGCCGUGCCGCCCCAUCUCCCGCAGCGUUGCCCGUUCCGGCCGUUUUCUCCCCCAAAACGCUUCUCCCACCCCCGGCACCCAGCCCGGGGGCACCGGACCGCUGCGGGGCCACCCACGCCGGGAUCCCCAGCCCGGUGCGCGGCGGCGACGGGACGCGGCCGGGGGAUUUUGGGGACGGGGACGGGGACGGGGGGGGGGACACGCGUGGGCUGGGGGCGCGCCCCCCCCCUCGUGCCGCGCUCCCCGCGUGGAUCACGGAGGCGGGGCCGGGGGCGGGGCGGCGGCGGCGCUGCCCUGCCGGGGGGGCUCCGGCGGAGAGCGGGGGGUGGGGGGGGCGCCGCUCCCGGCUCCGGUUCCGCUCCCGGCGGCAGCGGCGGGAUGAGCCCGGCGGCGCGGCCCCGCGCGGGGGGCUGACGGCGGAGGCUGCGCGAGCCGCCGAGGACGGCGGGGUCCGGGCCCCGGUAAGGCUCCGCGCUGGCCCCGGUGCGCUUCGGGGCCGGCCCCGGUGCGGCGGAGGGGAAGGGAGGAGCGGCGGUGCUCGCCUUUGUGCGGGCGGCGGGGCGGCCCUUUUGUCUGCACGGCGAUGUGGAGGGGAAGGGGAAGAAGGGGAAAGGGGGGGGGAAGCGCCAUUUCGAGAGGAUCCCGGUAAAAGGGAUCAUUAUGAAAAAAAAAAUAGCAAAAGAAACCCGCGGGCCGGGCGCUGCCCCCCGCUCCCCCCCGGCUGUGUGUGUG